UUUUCAUUGGCUUUUUUCCCAUUGCUUAUGAUGCAGGAGGCUGUUAUAUAGUUCCAGUGGAUUAUAUGCAGGAGAGGUUUAACACAUAACCUUCAAGAAAUGCCUGAAGGCCCAGCUCUCCUGUGAACUCACGAACAACAAUAACAAAACACCAUCAGCAUUCUCGUGGUUACUGAGUAUAUGUUUAUAUAGGGUCUCGGAGAACCUGAGCCUAUCCCAGGGAGCAUGGGGCACAAGGCGGGGUACACCCUGGAAGGUGUGCCAGUCACCAAUUACAGGGCACUAUCACAUACACAUUCAUACACUAUGGACACUUUGGACUGGGGAGGAAACUGGAGUACCUGAAGGAAACCCCUGCGGCACAGGACAACAUGCAAACUCCUCACACACGUCCUGCCAUGGUGGGAAUCGAACCCCCAACCCUGGAGGUGUGAGGCUAACAUACUAACCACUAACCACUGUAUUGACAAUACAGUCAAUAAUUUUAGGAACAGUAAAAAGUUACCCA
ensembl:lncRNA